GACGAACGCUGGCGGCGUGCCUAAUACAUGCAAGUUGAGCGCUGAAGGUUGGUACUUGUACCGACUGGAUGAGCAGCGAACGGGUGAGUAACGCGUGGGGAAUCUGCCUUUGAGCGGGGGACAACAUUUGGAAACGAAUGCUAAUACCGCAUAAAAACUUUAAACACAAGUUUUAAGUUUGAAAGAUGCAAUUGCAUCACUCAAAGAUGAUCCCGCGUUGUAUUAGCUAGUUGGUGAGGUAAAGGCUCACCAAGGCGAUGAUACAUAGCCGACCUGAGAGGGUGAUCGGCCACAUUGGGACUGAGACACGGCCCAAACUCCUACGGGAGGCAGCAGUAGGGAAUCUUCGGCAAUGGACGAAAGUCUGACCGAGCAACGCCGCGGGAGUGAAGAAGGUUUUCGGAUCGUAAAACUCGGUUGGUAGAGAAGAACGUUGGUGAGAGUGGAAAGCUCAUCAAGUGACGGUAACUACCCAGAAAGGGACGGCUAACUACGUG
rnacentral:rRNA from 1 species